rnacentral:rRNA from 1 species
GCCUACGGGAGGCAGCAGUGAGGAAUAUUGGUCAAUGGGCGGGAGCCUGAACCAGCCAAGCCGCGUGAGGGAAGAAGGUACAGCGUAUCGUAAACCUCUUUUGUCAGGGAACAAAGGCGGGGACUAGUCCCCGGAUGAGGGUACCUGAAGAAAAAGCAUCGGCUAACUCCGUGCCAGCAGCCGCGGUAAUACGGAGGAUGCGAGCGUUAUCCGGAUUUAUUGGGUUUAAAGGGUGCGCAGGCGGUCUGUUAAGUCAGCGGUCAAAGCCCGGGGCUCAACCCCGGCCCGCCGUUGAAA